rnacentral:rRNA from 1 species
AUUGAACGCUGUCGGCAGGCCUAACACAUGCAAGUCGAGCGGAGCGGCGGACGGGUGAGUAAUGCCUAGGAAUCUGCCUGGUGGUGGGGGAUAACGUCCGGCAACGGGCGCUAAUACCGCAUACUAUCAGAUGAGCCUAGGUCGGAUUAGCUAGUGGGGGGGGUAAAGGCCUACCAAGGCGACGAUCCGUAACUGGUCUGAGAGUAUGAUCAGUCACACUGGAACUGAGACACGGUCCAGCCUCCUACGGUAGGCAGCAGUGGUGAAUAUGGGACAAUGGGCGAGAGCCUGAUCCAGCCAUGCGGCGUGUGUGAAGAAGGUCUUCGGAUUGUAAAGCACUUUAAGUUGGGAGGCGUGACCAACAGAAUAAGCACCUGCUAACGGCGUGCCAGCCGCCGCGGUAAUAC